UUCCUUCUCAUUUUCAAAAUCCAGUGACACUUGAGAAACAGAAACAGAAGAAGAAUGGGAGACAGCACAAUGACAUGUGUAGAGAUUCUUUUGGCAAUCAUCUUGCCUCCCCUUGUUUUCCGCAAGUUUAGUUGCAAGGUGGAAUUCUGGAUCUAUGUCUCGCUGACUCUCCUUGACUGGCUACCUGGUAUUAUCUAUGCUUUUUGGGCCCUCAACUCCUCAUCAAGUGAUCUACCUUUCCUAUGGUGGAUAUGUAAAGGCCCCGUUUCGACAUAAUAUCCGUUUAAGUGUCAUGCUGAUAUCUAAUCGACUCAUUGAAAUAGUCCAGAAAUAGAAAGAAUUAAGUGCCCAAACUCUUCGAGAAAUUGUCCAUAGAGAAGAGAUUAAUUCAAGAAAGAACUUCUGCUUGUUCUUGUAUCUGUAACCUGGUGUCUAGAAUUCUUGUGACAUAUAUCACUUCUCUAUCCUUUUUUUGUUCUUUAGUAAGGCUACUAUGAACAACUUGUGUAGGACUGGAAAUGACAUACUGUAGUUUUAUGUUGGCAGUUAAAUUUAACGGCCAAGAGGUCACAAUUUAAAGCUAGUUGAAUUGUC